rnacentral:siRNA from 1 species
ACUAGGAUGGGUGACCUCCC